rnacentral:rRNA from 1 species
GAUGAACGCUGGCGGCGUGCCUAACACAUGCAAGUCGAGCGAAGCAUUUAACAUGAAGUUUUCGGACGGAAUGUUAUCUGACUGAGCGGCGGACGGGUGAGUAACGCGUGGGUAACCUGCCUUAUACAGGGGGAUAACAGUUAGAAAUGACUGCUAAUACCGCAUAAGCGCACAGUACCGCAUGGUAGUGUGUGAAAAACUCCGGUGGUAUAAGAUGGACCCGCGUCUGAUUAGCCAGUUGGCGGGGUAACGGCCCACCAAAGCGACGAUCAGUAGCCGACCUGAGAGGGUGACCGGCCACAUUGGGACUGAGACACGGCCCAAACUCCUACGGGAGGCAGCAGUGGGGAAUAUUGCACAAUGGGGGAAACCCUGAUGCAGCAACGCCGCGUGAGUGAAGAAGUAUUUCGGUAUGUAAAGCUCUAUCAGCAGGGAAGAAGAUGACGGUAC